UCCGAAUUGGUGUAGUGGCUAACAUUUGACGCUCUCAUCUUCGCAUGACAGACAUACACCAAGUCUGUGUGAUGCUGCAGUGCCGUCAAGCCCGGGGUUCGAUUCCCCGAUUCGGAG